rnacentral:rRNA from 1 species
GAUGAACGCUGGCGGCGUGCUUAACACAUGCAAGUCGAGCGGAGUUUGUAGAUGGAUUUCCUUCGGGAAUGUAGCCUACAAACUUAGCGGCGGACGGGUGCGUAACGCGUGGGUAAUCUGCCCUUGUCACUGGGAUAACACAUCGAAAGGUGUGCUAAUACCAGAUAAUAUCAAGUCAUGGCAUCAUGACUUGAUCAAAGAACCUCGGACAAGGAUGAGCCUGCGUCUGAUUAGCUAGUUGGUGGGGUAAUGGCCUACCAAGGCGACGAUCAGUGGCCGACCUGAGAGGGUGAUCGGCCACACUGGAACUGAGACACGGUCCAGACUCCUACGGGAGGCAGCAGUGGGGAAUAUUGCACAAUGGGCGCAAGCCUGAUGCAGCCAUGCCGCGUGUGUGAAGAAGGCCUUCGGGUUGUAAAGCACUUUCAGCGAGGAGGAAAGGUUGGUAGCUAAUAACUGCCAGCUGUGACGUUACUCGCAGAAGAAGCACCGGCUAACUCCGUGCCAGCAGCCGCAGUAAGAC